AGCCCAGAAAAGAUGUGGGGCUGNNNNNNNNNNGUACCCUGUGACCCUCAAUCGCCUUUAGGGGGAGCGACAGCUGGUGGCGGCGCACCCAGUGGGCUGUCUAAUCCGCAUUUCAACUGCGAUAUCCUGUCCCUCGGGGUCGCAGGUGAUUGCAGGGGUUUGCCGGAGGGCAGACUUCGGAUCUUUGCCAUGGGGACUGGGUCAGGCCCGGAAGGGAGCAGCCUUACCGUGGACUACCGACGCUCGAGCGGGUUGCGGGGUUGAGAAGGAGUGCGGUGUCGGACACUCUGCCAGGACGACAACACCAGUGGUCUGGCA
rnacentral:SRP_RNA from 1 species